AAGGAUCAUUACCGAGUGCGGGCUGCCUCCGGGCGCCCAACCUCCCACCCGUGACUACCUAACACUGUUGCUUCGGCGGGGAGCCCCCUAGGGGCGAGCCGCCGGGGACCAUGAACUUCAUGCCUGAGAGUGAUGCAGUCUGAGCCUGAAUACAAAUCAGUCAAAACUUUCAACAAUGGAUCUCUUGGUUCCGGCAUCGAUGAAGAACGCAGCGAACUGCGAUAAUAAUGUGAAUUGCAGAAUUCAGUGAAUCAUCGAGUCUUUGAACGCACAUUGCGCCCCCUGGCAUUCCGGGGGGCAUGCCUGUCCGAGCGUCAUUGCUGCCCUCAAGCCCGGCUUGUGUGUUGGGUCGUCGUCCCCCCCGGGGGACGGGCCCGAAAGGCAGCGGCGGCACCGUUCCGGUCCUCGAGCGUAUGGGGCUUUGUCACCCGCUCGAUUAGGGCCGGCCGGGCGCCAGCCGGCGUCUCCAACCUUAUUUUUCUCAGGUUGACC
rnacentral:rRNA from 1 species